CGCGUAGGCGGUCAGAUAAGUCAGAUGUGAAAGCCCGGGGCUCAACCCCGGAAGUGCAUUUGAAACUGUCUGGCUUGAGUAUGGUAGAGGGAAGUGGAAUUCCUGGUGUAGCGGUGAAAUGCGUAGAUAUCAGGAGGAACACCGGUGGCGAAGGCGACUUCCUGGACCAAUACUGACGCUGAGGCGCGAAGGUGUGGGGAGCAAACAGGAUUAGAUACCCUGGUAGUCC
rnacentral:rRNA from 1 species